rnacentral:rRNA from 1 species
CAGUAGCCGCGGGAAUACGUAGGUGGCAAGCGUUGUCCGGAAUUAUUGGGCGUAAAGGGCUCGCAGGCGGCUUCUUAAGUCUGAGGUGAAAGGUUCAACGCUUAACGUGAACAGUGCCUUGGAUACUGGGGAGCUUGAGUAUGGGAGAGGGCAGUGGAAUGGCUGGUGUAGCGGCGAAAUGCGUAGAUAUCAGUCGGAACACCCAUGGCGAAGGCAGCUGCCUGGCCUAAUACUGACGCUGAGGUGCGAAAGCGUGGGGAGCGAACGGGAUUAGAUACCCGAGUAGUCCCUGUCUCUUAUA